rnacentral:lncRNA from 1 species
CUCUCUCUCUUGGGUCAUAGAGUUACUCCUCCGAUAAAGGUAGAGCGACACUCCGCCCAACUCAGCAUUGACGCCGCGGCGGCCAUAUUUAAUGAUGGAAAAAGGGGCACGGGGGGAGGAGAAACUAUUCUUCCAGCUUCCGGUCACACGCCUUACGCUUUCCCUUCGCCCAGCCUCCCUGUUUCCCGGGGCAACGGCUAGUGGGUAGAGAAAGUGACCGGUAGGUGACGAGCUGCCCCAAGAAAGGAAUGCUAGAUGACCUGACGUUCUGCGUUAGACGUGCCAGUUCAGACUUUCCACCGUCAGCCCCGUGUGGGGCAGGUGUCCACACACUUGGGUCACGCAGCUCCAGGUCUCUGGUGCCCUUACCUCGACGGACUAACUAGAGCGCGGGGAUGGGAAGCCUAUCCCAACCGGAAGUCGUCUCACUGCCUUCCGGGUCGGGAGCGGAGAGGGUUCUGCAGCCGUAGUACCCCUCCCCCAGGGGGCGCCCAGACCUGAGCAGGACUGGAACCCAAAGCACAUAGCCUCAGGCUAGAUGUGAACAGGAUCUGUUGAAUGGGCAACUCUUCCUUUUCCUGGAACACAACUGCAGAUUGGCCUCAUUACCCAGCCCUUCUAAGUCCGCACUAGGUCCACUACUCAGCUGUGGAGCUACAGAGUUGCCAACCAGCUCCUGUUCUUACUUCCUGCACAGUUGGGGGAAAAGAAAGGAAAAUACAGCAGUUCUGAUAUGGCAGAGGUGAAGUCAAUGUUCCGAGAAGUACUUCCCAAACAAGGUCAGUUGUCUGUGGAAGAUGUGGCCACCAUGGUGCUGUGCAAACCCAAACUUCUGCCAUUAAAAUCUCUGACUCUUGAAAAAUUAGAGAAAAUGCAGCAAACGGCACAAGAAACUAUUCGCCAACAGGAAAUGGCAGAAAAGGAAGAGCACCAAACAAAGCAAUGAAUGAAUGAUUUAUUCAUCAGUUUUGGUUAUUUUUACUUGCUAUGAUAGUUUUCAAAAUAAUUCAUAUUUGUUUGCUAAUCCUGAAAUUUGUAUUAAAGUUAAAAUUCAUUUAAAAUAAGGGGAUAAGUAUAAGUCAUCAAAACAACAUAAUGAAUUUAAGCUUUUAUAAUUCCUAUUUUAGACUAUGGUCCAACUUUCACUUUGGCCAUAUUUUAUUUUAAUCUUUAGUAUUCCGUUUAGUGAUUGCUGGAAUUCUCAGUUCUACCACAAGAUUGCAUUUGUCUAGAUGUUGUUCAACAUUCCUAUUUUUAUCAAUUUUAGAGGUCCAACAACCCAUAAAAUGUGUAACUUCUGAAAAUUCUACACAUUGGCCUUUAUGCAUGAUAUAUCAAGACUAAAAAUGAAGUUUAUUUUUUUAAGUGUUUUGAGUUUUUCAAUGGAAAGCGUUGGGGAGAGAAAAAUACUUAAAAAACAAAAUUAUAAAGCUACUGCAUAAGCAUAUACACAUAUACACACAUAUUAUGUAUAUAUACACACAUAUUAUAUACACGAACACACACACACACACACACACAUAUAUAUAUUUGAAAAUGCAUUCAAAUCACAUCAAAAAUAAGCUAAGUUUCUUUUUAAUGAUUCACCUGGGAAUCUGAAGCAGAGGGAAUGAGUAGAUUUGUGAAACAAGAUUUCAUGGUAGACUGCUUUUACUUUCAUUUGAUAAAAACUGCCUAUGUGGUACACAGCAUUUUUUAACAGAAGUUACAGUCAAUCUUUCUUGGCCAGCAGGAACAAAAUAAAUGUAGCAAUAUUCCUGAACA